UAAUGAGUUGGCUGCAAUAUCUGCUACACCAUUGAUUGCUAGUUUUGAUUCAGUUCGUUCGACUUGGUUGAAGUUUGUUCCCUUCCUCCUCUGCCUUCUCCAUGGUGAGACUUACCUCCUGCUGCUGCACGCUUAGUUCAGGAAGACAGCCUUUUAGAUAGGGAAGGGUCUUUCUCUAGUCAGGGGUAUAUGCAUACCUGUACUUUCUUGCUAGAACAUCUAAAGGAGCCUUCAAACUCAAAUGAUUUUGCUUAUUCAAAUGAGGUAACAUAAGAAGACUAAUUCAAAGAGAAAAAAAUAAAAUACAAGUUGUUUU
rnacentral:snRNA from 1 species